AUUUUUUCACAAUUGCCGAAUAUUUACUAAGAUUCAAGCACCCACCCUACCCCUUGAUGACCACCAUCUACCUUAUACCCCCAGCCAUGUCUCGAGACAGCCCUUGGAAACUGGGUCCAAAUGAAUCCAACAUCCAGCCUACUGCCUCUGUCCCAGGAAGUCCACCCUGUACUAAGUUGCUGCUCCUCAACCCACCCACUCUCCUUGUUUCUCUCUUAGAUUUUUUUCAUGGGACAGCACUGUCUGUCCAAUAAAAACAUUGCCCCACCAAACAGAAGGAUAUGGGGCCAAUUCCGCCAGCUCAAAUGCUGGUAUCCUUAGGAAGGCAUCAACAACCCAUUUAUGCACAGAAUGUGACUUGUCAGCUUGGGCAGGUCAGAGAUCAAGAGACACCCGCUCUUCANAAAGUAAUAUACAUAGCAACUAUCAGAAAAGCCAGCCAAAGAGCAGCAUCACAAAAGAAUGGCACCACCAAGGGUCAUCCAGAAAGCAUAACCGAGGCAGAAAUACCCCCUCCACUAACCACAGGAAGUCUGAAUAAUGUGAGCUAAGGCGACAAAAUAUUUUCACAAGCAUUCUCACCAGGCCACCCUACUGUGCCACCUGAAUUCUGAGACAUGGGAAUGACUGUUUAGCAUCAGCAACUUCCCAGGAGAAGGUGAUAAGGCAGGCAUGUGGGAAGAGCAGGGGCCCUGGGAGCAGAGAGCUCUGAGUUCAAAUCUCAGCUCAACGGCUUGCUAGCUAUGUGUCCCAUAUUAGAUGAUGUAAGUCAACUGGAUAAAUGUAAGUAAAACACUGAGUAAAUACUAGCCCUCUCCGAAGGCCAACCUUCUACCUCUAACCCUAACUUCAAAGUGAAGGUGGUCCAAGCAAUUUUGCAAAACCAUUAAUAGCCAAGUACCAUUAAACCCGGGCUUUCCAGGUGGUUCAGUGGUAAACAGUCUGCCUGCCAAUGCAGGAGACACAGGGGACGAGGGUUGGAUCCCUGGGUCAGGAAGAUCUCCUGGAGGAGGAAAUGGCAACCC
rnacentral:lncRNA from 1 species